rnacentral:rRNA from 1 species
UACGAAGGGGGCUAGCGUUGCUCGGAAUCACUGGGCGUAAAGCGCACGUAGGCGGACUCUUAAGUCGGUGGUGAAAUCCUGGAGCUCAACUCCAGAACUGCCUUCGAUACUGAGAGUCUCGAGUCCGGGAGAGGUGAGUGGAACUGCGAGUGUAGAGGUGAAAUUCGUAGAUAUUCGCAAGAACACCAGUGGCGAAGGCGGCUCACUGGCCCGGUACUGACGCUGAGGUGCGAAAGCUAGGGUAGCAAACGGG